rfam:Hordeum vulgare subsp. vulgare, WGS project CAJW01000000 data, contig: morex_contig_1577280
AACAUACUACCUCCGUCCGAAAAUACUUGUCUUAAAGAUGAAUGUAUCUAGACUUAUUUUAAUUAUAGAUACACCCAUUGUAUGUAUUAUUAGGAUAAAUAUUUCCGGACGGAGGAAGUAGUAA